AUUUGUUUCCUUGUGCCCAGUCACACAAGCAUUAAUAUUUUUACAAUUGACAGUCAAGACGACAGCCGUUCAUGAGUUUAAAGGUAUCACUAGAGGGCGAACUUGUACAGAUACUGCACAGUAUCUGAUUCCAGCCAUAGGGUGAGGAGAGAGAUGAAAAAUACAACAAAUCAGAUGUCUUUAAAAUCUGUCUGUGUAUCUGUCUGUAUAUCUGUCUAUUUAUCUAUCUAAAUCUCCUUUCUUCCAGUCUAAAUCCAUGACCUCGUGUCCUAUGUAAAGUCUGGUUUGUGAAUAGAUUUCCACACAAUGGUUUGUAUUGGCCCCGAAUAUAUUUGUAUAAUGUUAUCAUAUCCCCUCUCAGGCGACAUUUUUGUAAACUAAAUAGGUUUAAAUUUGUUAACCUUUCCAUUCCUUUUAUUAAUUUUGUAGCCCG